ACGCUUUUCGUUUUCCAGGAUUCUCUCCCGUCCGGCCUCGCGUUCUCCCGCAGCUCCAGAAGGACUUCCUUCGCUCUCGCAGCAUCAGUUCUCUUUCGGCCUUCGGUUUGGUAACACUUUGUGCUUUCGUCGUUACUGACUUGUCAAGGAAAGUGAGAGUUUCGAAGUGUGUUUCUUUGCCGACAACGACCAGCGGUGGGGGACCUCCCGGUGCGUGCGUGAUUAUUCUUGUUCGGCGUUCUGGUUUUGUACUCGGGGAUUCGUAAGAGUUUUUUAGGGUGUUGCGGGUGGACGGACGUCUAGUGCUUCUGCUACAAGGUUCAGCAAUUAUGAGGUUUUCACGGUUGAACCCGGUGGUGAUUUGCCUCAUCUUGGUGGCUGCGAGUCUGUGUGCAGCGCAGCAGCAGGCUCCUCCAACUAUCACAUCAAUAAGUCCGGAACAGAUUAAGGAUAUUGGAGAGAGCGUGACGUUGGAGUGUGAUAUCGACAAUGUAGGAAAGUUCACGGUUGGAUGGCAAAAGACUAAUCGCGAACGGUCACAGAAUGUCAAUUCUAUCUCCCUUGGCCCCACACUGGCUGUGGCUGAGGAUCGUUUCAAAGUCAGCGUUGAUAAAGAGAACAAUACCAUGAACUACACAUUGACGAUCAGCGAUAUCGUCAAUACGGAUGCUGGACUGUACGAAUGCCAAAUUCAGGUGAACAGUACCAAUAAAGUAACCGCUACGGUGGAGCUUCAGGUUCGCCAUCCGCCGCUUCUACAGGAUAACUUGAUGGCAACGACUGUUACAAAGGCUGAAGGGGAAGACGUCAAGCUGACCUGCGCCGCAGAAGGCUAUCCGCGUCCAUCGAUCUCCUGGAAGCGAGAGUACGGUGCCAUCCUGCCGAUUGGUGGACUGAGCUACACCGGAAGCGAGUUACCUCUGUCAUCGUUGACCAAAGAAGAUCGUGGCACAUACUUCUGCAUUGCCGAUAAUGGAGUAGGCAAAUCCGAUUCACGGACAAUCAACCUUGAGGUCGAGUUCGCCCCGGUGAUCUCCGUACCACGACCAAAAGUUGCUCAAGCUACUGAAUAUGAUAUCGAAUUGGAGUGCGUCGUACAGGCUUUUCCAUCACCUGCGGUGUCCUGGUUCAAGAAUGGACAACAAAUUCACAAUGGAGGAUCUUACGGGAUCACUCAAACUGGACAACCUGAUGACGUAACGACAUCUACUGUUAAGAUCUCCUCCGUUGAAAGCUCACAUUAUGGAGAUUACAUCUGCAAGGCUUCUAAUAAAGUGGGCCACGCUGAAGCAAGACUGAACCUCUAUGAGUCGGUUAUACCAGUACCCUAUUGAUGUGUUGUAGUUGACCUUGGCCUUCCCUAGUUUAGUCAAAUUUUGGUUAAAUUAUGUUUUCUUGAUGAUUUUAUGAGAGCAACGCAUUCCCAACAUAAAUUUUUCCGGCCUGAAAUGGUCCAGCUCGGGCCGUGUUCUAGUGAAUCACUUGGGUAUCCUUAUGGUAACGGUUCUGCUAGCAACGCUAUUGUGAAUAAGAAAGAGAAGCUAAACGCAGCAGCUGACUUAAACAUCGCCUCAGACAAAUCCAAGUCUGUUAUCCAAACCAAACAGACAUGACAAAAAGAAAAAACGCAAUGUUCAAAUUUUUCCCGAUUAGGAGAACCCGCCUAGGAACUCGUGUGCCCCGUCAGAAGUGCAAUCGCAUUGCCCUUUUUUGUACUAGAGACAUAUCCAUAUAAGAAAGGCAUUUACCUACUUACCCCCAGAGAAGCGACUAACAAAUUUCCAUAUUCGUGUUGAGCAUUUUGGGUUGCCCAACGGACAGACGUUCAAUGAAGAAAUUCUGUACAAAUAAAGCCAAUCUAAAAUAAAUACGGCGAAACUAUACGUUAAACAAAAUCAACUACCUGGUACAGCCGUAAGUCGUCAUAAAAGAGCUCGUUUUAGUGUUAGGCAUAUAAAAUAUUUCGGAAAAAGGUCGUGUGCGAAUAAAGGUGUUUAAACGUAAA